GGCUACUCCUGAUAACCUUCUUCUCUUCCAUUUGCUUGGAGAAGACAUCUAGAAUUAGUUGUUCCAUCUCUUUCCCAGAGGCAGAGGAUCUCCACAACUUCUGUUCUGUUUCUCUGAUAUCCACUAGCAAUAACAUUGCUUCUGCUGCGUAAAGCGAGAGGAAGUAUCUGCCCAGAUGUUCUCCCCAGCUGCAGCUUUGCUGGCUGAGAUGGGAAAAAUGGAAACCUGCAGGCCAAGACAAUAACCCGUGGGACACCUGCAGUCACUUUGGACCCAUUCACAUCUCAGUGAGCAGUUUGCCAAGGAGUGUGUGUGGGGGUAG